rnacentral:rRNA from 1 species
UACAGAGGGGGCAAGCGUUAUUCGGAAUUAUUGGGCGUAAAGGGCGCGUAGGCGGCAGGGCAAGGGGAAGGGGAAAUCCCUCGGCUUAACCGAGGAACUGCCCUCCAAACUGCUUUGCUUGAGGCCGGGAGAGGUGAGUGGAAUUCCCAGUGUAGCGGUGAAAUGCGUAGAUAUUGGGAGGAACACCAGUGGCGAAGGCGGCUCACUGGACCGGUUCUGACGCUGAGGCGCGAAAGCGUGGGGAGCAAACGGG